rnacentral:rRNA from 1 species
AACGAACGCUGGCGGCAUGCCUAACACAUGCAAGUCGAACGAGACCUUCGGGUCUAGUGGCGCACGGGUGCGUAACGCGGGGGAACCUGCCCUUAGGUCCGGAAUAACUCCCCGAAUGGGGUGCUAAUACCGGAUAAUGUCUUCGGACCAAAGAUUUAUCGCCUUUGGAUGGGCUCGCGUUGGAUUAGCUAGUUGGUAGGGUAAAAGCCUACCAAGGCGACGAUCCAUAGCUGGUCUGAGAGGAUGAUCAGCCACACUGGGACUGAGACACGGCCCAGACUACUACGGGAGGCAGCAGUGGGGAAUAUUGGACAAUGGGCGAAAGCAUGAUCCAGCAAGGCCGCGUGAGUGAUGAAGGCCUUAGGGUUGUAAAGCUCUUUUACCCGGGAUGAUAAUGACAGUACCGGGAGAAUAAGCUCCGGCUAACUCCGUG